rnacentral:rRNA from 1 species
GAUUAAGUUACUAAGGGCGCACAGGGGAUGCCUUGGCGUCUAGAGGCGAUGAAGGACGUGGCAAAACUGCGAUAAGCUUCGGGGAGCUGUUCAACAAGCAUUGAUCCGAAGAUUUCCGAAUGGGGAAACCUGACUACCUAAGGUAGUCGCUCCGCAAGGAGAGCGAACUCAGGGAAGUGAAACAUCUCAGUACCUGAAGGAAAAGAAAUCAAUAGAGAUACCCGUAGUAGCGGUGAGCGAACCGGGUAGAGCCUAAACCAUCGGAACUUCGGUUCUGAUGGGGUUGUAGGGCGUGCAAUAAAGCUGAUCAAAGUCAAUAAUCGAAGAGCGUUGGAAAGCGCUGCCAUAGAAGGUGAUAGCCCUGUAGGUGAAAUUGACAAUGACGGUGAGUACGUACCUGAGUACAGCGGGACACGUGGAACCCUGCUGGAAUCUAGGAAGACCACUUUCUAAGGCUAAAUACUACUAGACGACCGAUAGUGAACAAGUACCGUGAGGGAAAGGUGAAAAGAACCCCGACGAGGGGAAUGAAAAGAUCCUGAAACUGUGUGUCUACAAGCAGUCGAAGCACUAUGUUCGCAAGAACAGUGCGACGGCGUACCUUUUGCAUCAUGGGUCAGCGAGUUGCGCCUUUGUGGCAAGGUUAAGUCGAUAAGACGGAGCCGAAGCGAAAGCGAGUCCUAACUGGGCGAUUCAGUCACAAGGGGCAGACCCGAAGCCGAGUGAUCUAACCAUGGCCAGGAUGAAGCUCGGGUAACACCGAGUGGAGGUCCGAACUGUAAUACGUUGAAAAGUAUUCGGAUGAGCUGUGGUUUGGAGUGAAAGGCUAAUCAAACUCGGAGAUAGCUGGUUCUCUUCGAAAUAUAUUGAGGUAUAGCGUCGUGUAUAUUGAGCGGGGGUAGAGCACUGAAUGGACUAGGGGGCCUACCAGCCUACCAAACCCAAAUAGCCUCCGAAUACCGCUCAAGUAAAGCACGGCAGUCAGUUCGUGACUGAUAAGGGCCACGAGCGAGAGGGACAGACCCCAGACCGCCAGCUAAGGUCCCAAAAUCAAUGCUAAGUGGAAAACGAUGUGAGACCGCUAAGACAGCCAGGAAGUUGGCUUAGAAGCAGCCACCUUUUUAAGAAAGCGUAAUAGCUCACUGGUCGAGCGGGCUCGUGCGGAAAAUUCAACGGGGCUAAAGCAUUGUACCGAAGCUGCGGAUAGUAAGAAUCCUACGGGAUUUUUAUUGUGGUAGAAGAGCGUUGUUAACAGGCUGAAGCAUGAUCGUAAGAACGUGUGGACAGUUAACAAGUGAUAAUGCUGACAUGAGUAACGAUAAACAAAGUGAAGAGCUUUGUCGCCGAAAACCCAAGGUUUCCUGAGCCAGGGUCAUCCGCUCAGGGUUAGUCGGAGCCUAAGCUGAGGCCGAAAGGCGUAAGUGAUGGUAAACAGGUUAAUAUUCCUGUCACCACAAGGCACAUUGUGCGAUGGAGAGACGGAGAAGGGUAUGUCUACCGGGUAAUGGUUGUCCCGGAGAAAGUUCGUAGGCUGAAAGGAUAGGUAAAUCCGUUCUUUCUUAAGGCCGAGAAACGAGACCAUCUGCGAUCCGCAAGGGUCAAAGAGAAGUGACUGAUCCCACGCUUCCUAGAAAAUCUUCUAAGCCCGUGCUGCGUGUCCGUACCGGAAACCAACUCUGGUGGGUUAGUAGAGAAUACUUAGGCGCUUGAGAGAACUCUGGUUAAGGAACUAGGCAAAUUACUACCGUAACUUCGGGAUAAGGUAGGCCUUCUAUGGUGUAAUACUUCGCGUAUGAAGCUGCGGAAGGUUGCAGAGAGCAGGGGGUAGCGACUGUUUACUAAAAACACAGGACUCUGCAAACUCGUAAGAGGAGGUAUAGGGUCUGACGCCUGCCCGGUGCCGGAAGGUUAAGGGGAUUUGUCAUCUCGUAAGAGAGAAGCUUUGAACCGAAGCCCCGGUGAACGGCGGCCGUAACUAUGAAUCCGUUGUAGUUACGAAAAUAAAUUUGGCUAUAUGCUGGAAUAUCCGAUUGUAUCCACAGAUACUCGCACAUAUAAUUUAGAAAUAAAUUAAUGGGCAGUGACAACUCUAGUGGUGCGGACAAUCAGCAGGAAAGAUUUAAGAAAAUGAGUAAAACAGUUCCUCCAAAUAUUGGCUAUUAUUUAGCUGGUUUUGCUGAUGGAGAGGGAAGCUUUAAUGUUUCAUUCCGUCCGCGACCUGACUAUAUAAUGCCAUGGAAAGUUUCGUUAUGUUUCAAUAUUUCUCAAAAAGAUAAAGUAAUACUGACGCUGUAUAAAAAAUAUUUACAGUGUGGGACUUUACGAGGAAGAGCUGAUGGAGUUUGGUAUUUCGAAGUUAAUAACUUUGAAGCGAUUGUUUCAAAUGUUAUUCCUUUCUUCAAAAAAUAUAAAUUUCUAUCGGCUAAGAAAAAACGAGACUUUCAAAAAUUCAUUCAGAUUUCAGAUUUAGUCAAAGAGCAUGCUCAUUUAACACGAGCUGGCAUUGAAAAAAUUCUGCAAAUUCGAGCUGAUAUGAACGAUGGUGGAAAAAGAAAGUACUCAGAUGCUGAAAUUAUCAGCAUUCUUAAAAAUCCUCAGAGACUACAUGCCAAACAUUAGCUAAAAUCUAAUGAUGAUAUAGUCCGAACUGCAUAGCGAUAUGUAGAGCUUAGAAGAAAUUCUAAGACGCUAAAAAGAAAUUUUUAGUAGUAACAUUUAUAACGAACGGUCCUAAGGUAGCGAAAUUCCUUGUCGGGUAAGUUCCGACCUGCACGAAUGGCGUAACGACUUCCCCACUGUCUCAACCAGAGACUCAGUGAAAUUGAAUUCGAAGUGAAGAUGCUUCGUAUCCGCGGAAAGACGGAAAGACCCUGUGCACCUUUACUACAACUUAGCGUUGAGCCUGGAGGCUGCAUGUGUAGCAUAGGUGGGAGACUUUGAAGUCGGAGCGCUAGCUCUGAUGGAGUCAUUAGUGAAAUACCACCCUUGCAUUCUCUAGAUUCUAACAUUGGCGAGUGAAUCCUCGCCGUGGACCACGCUUGGUGGGUAGUUUGACUGGGGCGGUCGCCUCGACCACAAGCCAGUAUAAAAAGGAAAUUUAGGGGCGCUUUAGUGGCAACACUAAAGGCAAAUUUGGCUAUAUGCUGGAAAGUCCGUUCUCUCUAAAUCUGUUUACUUUUUUCCGUUCGUAAAUAUUUAGAAGAGAUGUAGUAUCCAACAUUACACGCGCAACAAAUUAUUAGCGUGUGUGAAAAUGUGUUUGGUGCGGGCAAUCAGCAGGGAAGACCACUGAGAUAUACUCAAUCUAGUGUAUAUUCUUAUGUCCCCUCAACGACUAAACGCCGAACUUCCUCUAAAGGGAAGAUGAUAUAGUCUGAACUUCCAGGCGACUGGAAGCCAUAAUAAUGGGGUCUUGCUAAUAUUUUAUGCGAUCGAAAAAGAUCGAAGCACUUAAAUUAAAGUUGAAAUUGUCCGAUCAGCAACGAGAAGUUCUGGUUGGAUUACUACUUGGUGAUGCUUGCUUAGAGACUCAAAAUGGGGGGAAAACUUACCGCCUAAAAAUCGAGCAAAGUGAAAAGCACCAAGACUAUCUUCAACACCUGUAUGAUCUGUUUGCAGAGUGGGUCUUGACCCAACCUCGUAAACGACAAGUUCAUUCUGGUGAUUUUGUUUCUGUAAAUCUAGCGUUUCAAACCGUAAGCCAUAGCGCUUUUAGGUUUUAUGCUCAAAAUUUUUACGGUAAUCAAAAAAAAACAGUACCAAAGUUAAUUGGCCAUUGGUUAACCCCAAAGGCGCUUGCUUAUUGGUAUAUGGAUGAUGGUUCUAUGAAAUCAAAAGAUUCAAAGGGAGUAAUUUUCAACACACAAGGAUUUACUAAGAAUGAAGUCAAUCUGCUUAGUAAGGUCCUCGGACAUAAAUACGGUUUAAGUGCAAAGUUAAGAAAGCAAAAGGAUGGCCAUCAGAUUUACAUUUCUGGAUCUUCUUAUGAAGACUUUAUUCAGAUUGUAAAGCCACAUGUAAUUCCUUCAAUGCUUUAUAAAAUUCAAAAAGCAAGACAAACACAAUUGCCUAAAGAGUAACGGAGGCGCGCAAUGGUGGGCUCAGACUGGUUGGAAAUCAGUCGUACGAGUGUAAAGGCAUAAGCCCGCUUAACUGUGAGAGAGACAUUUCGAACAGGUACGAAAGUAGGCCUUAGUGAUCCGGUGGUUCUUCGUGGAAGGGCCAUCGCUCAUCGGAUAAAAGGUACGCCGGGGAUAACAGGCUUAUCUCCCCCAAGAGUUCACAUCGACGGGGAGGUUUGGCACCUCGAUGUCGGCUCGUCACAUCCUGGGGCUGAAGUAGGUCCCAAGGGUUCGGCUGUUCGCCGAUUAAAGUGGCACGCGAGCUGGGUUUAGAACGUCGUGAGACAGUUCGGUCCCUAUCUUCCGUGGACGCAGGAAAAUUGAGAGGAUUUGCUCUUAGUACGAGAGGACCGGAGCGAACAUACCUCUAGUGGACCAGUUGUCCUGCCAAGGGCAUAGCUGGGUAGCCAAGUAUGGAAGGGAUAACCGCUGAAUGCAUCUAAGCGGGAAGCCUACCUCAAGAUUAGUUUUCCCACCCGCAAGGGCUAAAGGGACGUUGAAGACUACAACGUUGAUAGGUUGGAGGUGGAAGUGCGGUAACGCAUGUAGCUGACCAAUACUAAUGUUCCCGUGAGACUUAAUCUU